rnacentral:piRNA from 1 species
UGCAGCCUUCUCUCCAAGGCGCCUUCC